rnacentral:snRNA from 10 species
AUACUUACCUGACAGGGGAGACACCAUGAUCAGGCAGGUGGAUUUCCCAGGGCAAGGCUCAUCCCCUGCACUCCGGGUGAGCUGACUCCUGAGAUUUCCCCAAAUGCUGGAAACUUGACUGCAUGAUUUGUGGUUUUUUUUUUCUCUUCCUAGAAAGGUU